rnacentral:rRNA from 1 species
AUGGGCGAACGGAAAGAAGCAGCGGUGCCGGGCGUGGCCUAUGAGGGAGGAGGCAGCGGCGACAGUGGAUCGAGCUCAUGCAAACGCGCAGCUGCUGUUUGCAAAAUCAGCAAGCGCAGCCAGCAGGGAAUCUUUAAAAAGAUGAAGCCAAUUGCUGCUUAUUUUGCAACUCCACCAUCUAAUGAAUCUCAAGCUCAUGUUCAUGUUCAUGUUCCUGAACCUGAUGCAAACAUUUUAUCCACUGAAGCCUCAGAUGCAAACAUUGUAGAAGAUCUAGUUCCUGAACAUGAAGUGUAUAAUGAGGGCUCUCAUGAUAACACUUUGCAAACUUCUAUUCUAGGAUUUAGUCCAACUCACAUUGAACCUGAUCCUGGACUCCGGAAACAAAUUGGAGAUUAUCCUACUCCAGAAAUCAGAGAUGCAGUGAGGAGGGAGUAUUUGAAGAAAGGUCCAUGUCAGCCGUAUGGGCAUGAUUUUCCUCGCAACACUACAGAUAAAAGGGUAUUCAGAGAGGAGUGGUUUGACGAGUCUGAUGUUUUUUGCAGUUGUGGCAGUCUUGCUAAUCUUGCUCUCAAGUUGGUUGAAACUAAGGAACAUUUACACUUUCCUUUGGUUUACCGACUCAUCACACUUGCUUUGACUUUGCCAGUAGCGACGGCAUCUGUUGAAAGAGUUUUCUCAGCCAUGAAUAUCAUUAAGACAGAUUUGAGAAAUAAGAUAUCUGAUGAUUGGUUGAAUGAUCUGAUGAUAUGCUAUGUAGAGCGAGAUAUAUUUGCUGGAAUUGAUGACAAGAAGAUCAUAGAACAUUUUCACAGCUUGAGAGACCGUAGAGGCCAUCUACCAAACCCUCCCCGUAUACUUACGACUUAG